rnacentral:rRNA from 1 species
GAUGAACGCUGGCGGCGUGCCUAAUACAUGCAAGUCGAGCGAAUGGAUUAAGAGCUUGCUCUUAUGAAGUUAGCGGCGGACGGGUGAGUAACACGUGGGUAACCUGCCCAUAAGACUGGGAUAACUCCGGGAAACCGGGGCUAAUACCGGAUAACAUUUUGAACCGCAUGGUUCGAAAUUGAAAGGCGGCUUCGGCUGUCACUUAUGGAUGGACCCGCGUCGCAUUAGCUAGUUGGUGAGGUAACGGCUCACCAAGGCAACGAUGCGUAGCCGACCUGGGAGGGUGAUCGGCCACACUGGGACUGAGACACGGCCCAGACUCCUACGGGAGGCAGCAGUAGGGAAUCUUCCGCAAUGAACGAAAGUCUGACGGAGCAACGCCGCGUGAGUGAUGAAGGCUUUCGGGCCGUAAAACUCUGUUGUUAGGGAAGAACAAGUGCUAGUUGAAUAAGCUGGCACCUUGACGGUACCUAACCAGAAAGCCACGGCUAACUACGUGCCAGCAGCCGCCGUAA